rnacentral:rRNA from 1 species
UACGUAGGGCCCGAGCGUUAUCCGGUAUUAUUGGGCGUAAAGAGUACGUAGGCGGUUAUGUAAGACAAUGGUUAAAGCUCCGGGCUCAACCCGGAAAUCGCCGUUGUGACUGCGUGACUAGUCGGUAGCAGGGGCAAGCGGAAUUCUCGGUGUAGGAGUGAAAUCCGUUGAGAUCGAGAAGAACACCAAUGGCGAAGGCAGCUUGCUAGGCUAUUUGAGACGCUGAGGUACGAAAGCGUGGGGAGCGAACGGG